CAGGUUCUUCUAAAAGCUACGUAUUAUCCUGAAAAGAGAGCACCCAACAUCUAAAGUCAGUUUGGUGUCUGGGCAGAUUUCAGGCUUUCAUUGGGACUUUUGCCCUACUCCUGCAGGCAUUCAAGGGCAGGCUGGAUGUGGCUCUGGGAAGCCUGGUCUAGUGGUUUGUGACCCUACGCAUAGCAGCGGGCUUGAAACUAGAUGAUCAUUGUGGUCCUUUUCAACCCAGGCCAUUCUGUGAUUCAUUCUAUGAUUCAUUAUGAUUUUGGCCCUUGUCCCAGAUCUUUUCUUUCAGUGUCCACUUUCUUCUGUCAUAGAGGACAAUUGUUAACAUUUCAAGCCAAAGCUGCUCCAACCUGAAAAUACACACUCAUAGCAGAAACUGGUCUGGAAGGUGAACUAAGCAUGCCUAGUAUGUGAGGGAACAGGGCUGCCUUAGGAGCUGCUACCUACGGAUGACUGCAGGAGCAAGUAACUGAAAACAGGCUGAUGGGUUGGAACACUGAAAACGUGGGUUUACUGCUGGAAGCCCAGACAGGAUGACAGGAUGGUCA
rnacentral:lncRNA from 1 species